UACGUAGGGGGCAAGCGUUGUCCGGAAUCAUUGGGCGUAAAGCGCGUGUAGGCGGCCCGGUAAGUCCGCUGUGAAAGUCGGGGGGCUCAACCCUCGAAUGCCGGUGGAUACUGUCGGGCUAGAGUACGGAAGAGGCGAGUGGAAUUCCUGGUGUAGCGGUGAAAUGCGCAGAUAUCAGGAGGAACACCAAUUGCGAAGGCAGCUCGCUGGGACGUUACUGACGCUGAGACGCGAAAGCGUGGGGGAGCGAACAGG
rnacentral:rRNA from 1 species